CGCGUAGGUGGUAGUGCAAGUCUGGGGUGGAAUCUUAGGGCUUAACCCUAAAACUGCCUUGGAAACUGCAUUACUUGAGUCAGUGAGGGGAGGGUAGAAUUCCUGGUGUAGCGGUGAAAUGCGUAGAUAUCAGGAGGAAGGCCUGUGGCGAAGGCGGCCCUCUGGCGCUGAACUGACACUGAGGCGCGAAAGCGUGGGUAGCAAACAGGAUUAGAUACCCUGGUAGUCCACGCCCUAAACGGUGGGUACUAGGUGUAGGGCUCGUAAGGGUUCUGUGCCGAAGGGAACCAUUAAGUACCCCGCCUGGGGAGUACGGCCGCAAGGUCGAA
rnacentral:rRNA from 1 species